rnacentral:rRNA from 3 species
GUUUGAUCAUGGCUGAGAUUGAACGCUGGCGGCAUGCUUUACACAUGCAAGUCGAACGGUAACAGGCCGCAAGGUGCUGACGAGUGGCGAACGGGUGAGUAAUGCAUCGGAACGUGCCCAGUCGUGGGGGAUAACGCAGCGAAAGCUGCGCUAAUACCGCAUACGAUCUAUGGAUGAAAGCGGGGGACCGUAAGGCCUCGCGCGAUUGGAGCGGCCGAUGUCAGAUUAGGUAGUUGGUGGGGUAAAGGCUCACCAAGCCGACGAUCUGUAGCUGGUCUGAGAGGACGACCAGCCACACUGGGACUGAGACACGGCCCAGACUCCUACGGGAGGCAGCAGUGGGGAAUUUUGGACAAUGGGCGCAAGCCUGAUCCAGCAAUGCCGCGUGCAGGAAGAAGGCCUUCGGGUUGUAAACUGCUUUUGUACGGAACGAAAAGGCUCUGGUUAAUACCUGGGGCACAUGACGGUACCGUAAGAAUAAGCACCGGCUAACUACGUGCCAGCAGCCGCGGUAAUACGUAGGGUGCAAGCGUUAAUCGGAAUUACUGGGCGUAAAGCGUGCGCAGGCGGUUUUGUAAGACAGGCGU